CCAGCACAGCAUACCGCCGCCGUCAGUUACGGACAGUUGGGCUCGUCUGUUAUAAUGUUUAUUAUUUUUCGGUGAUAUUUGAUGGUCACAUUUAGUGGUCGGCAGCACAGGCAGCGGCCUGAGGUGCAAUUGAACGGCCAGGAAAAGGGGAAGCAAUUCAACAGCAUGUGCUGAUGUGUGCGAUUUUUGUUUUUUGUUUUCGUUCCUCAACUGCUGCUUUCAACUUCCUUUCAUUUGGCAAAUUCUACCUUUGCCGAGGCGUAGGUAUGCAAGUACGGCACUUGACUGCAGGGCACAGUCUGUUGUGUGGCGAAUGUGCGUCGGACGGUUUUUUUUUGUUUCGGUUUGGGCAAUGGUGUUUUCGUUACAUUUCUUUCACGGUGGUAGUGGGCCGUGCUCUCAAUUUUUUCGGUACCUAUUUUAUGAAUAUUGCAUGACUGGCCUCAUUUCGUUUGCACCGAAGAUUGGUGGCGAAUUGCAGUACGCAAACGGACAGUUGCAGUCGGUACAGCGUGUCCGCGAUAGUGAUCAGAGUUGAAGGAAGCAGCCGAAAACUGUCUAUUAAUAAGCAGAAGCUCGCGAAACGUGGACUCACAGAAAAAGUUCGAAGACAUCAUUAAACGCCACAUACAUCAGUCAGUCCUGUGUGCGGAGAAACAGUCCGGAUGGUAUUUGAACUCCGGUCCUGGCGUGUGAAGACCUGUGCCUUCAUCGGCACAGCGACCGGAGCGUCCCAAAGCAUAUAGCAAAAAUUGCACCGCCGCUGGGGAUGAUGAAAAAGCACACCUCGCCGUGUUUGACCGCCAGCCGGCCGUUGGUGUGAUCCGGGUGCGUUUAGCGUUUGACGCCGUACUAGAUCAUAAAUCUAGUUCUUCCAGAGGCUGGGAUUUAAACGGUUCCACCUAAAACCACCCUAAACCCAUCGCCCGUAACGAUCACCCCAGUGCCCGGGUGUACCAUCAUUACCGUAAUCGUAACCACUACAGUUUGUAGCUGUUGGAGUGCAACAGUCAUCAUCAUCAGCAGCAGCAGCAGGUGAUUCGCAGAACUAGCAACGGACCACUUGCGAGCUUUCGCAUGCUCGCUAACUGUCUCGACCGGCUUAUCUGCAGCAAACCAUCCACCAGACCGCGGCCCUGGACAGUGCACAACCAGAAAAAGGUUUAUAGCAAACGCUACACCUAGUUUACACCUAGUUGCGGUUCUCGGCUAGGUGGCGAGAAUUCGUGGAGAUGAGUUUUUAUGAUCGGGAAAAGCGAACUAGCAGGAAGAAACCAACCCAACCCGACCCGGCCCGUGGUGCGCAGACAUAACCGGUGCUUGCGCUAAUUUUAGUGCCGCGCAAUGAAUCUGCAUUUGCAUUUUCUUAUCGGAUAAGCCAAGCGAACGUUCCGCUGGCGUUCUGCUGUUACUGAGCACUCGCCGUAAACCGUAAAGAUGCCCUUGGCCAUGAGACUUCGUACCUUCGUAGCCGCGCACACGAAGCUCAGAAAAUUGCCUUGCCAGUUUGUAUUCUUCCUUCUGGUUCCUCCCAGUUGCUUGCCUCUGAAGCAUAUGGAGGAAUAUUCACGAAACUCCUAAUUGAUGGGUCAUGUAUCUUGUGUUCGUUUGCUAAGAUAUGCUCCAACCAAACCAAAAAAACGGGACAGAAAAAUCCGUGCCGACGUCUCGAAACUCAUGUUUACUUUCGGGAAACACUGGAGGGCUGCGGAUACCUUUUUUUGUGCAUUUGGCCGUACGUAACCAACCAACCUCGUAAGGUGGUAUAUUUUUAGACAAAGGUUCAAUGAACCCGCACGUCUAGAACUUCUCAAAGAUGACAUUCUACACCAGGGAAUGUAGGGGGCUGGUGGGGUGGUGUUCGGGUUUUGUUUUUGGCUCGCGGUUGACUGUCGAGUUGGCAUCUCAAGUUCAAGUGGGCAAAAGCUCCCCGCGACACAAAAGCAUAAUUUUGCAGAGGCACGCGCAAAAGUUGCCCGAUGCCUUUCACUUGUUGCGCUUGAUUUGUUUGGCCCUUCGGGCAUGUGCGCGACCGGUAGACAUUUGAGAAAUGUAAUUUGUUUUUGCAUACGGACGGUGACAGAGUCGGUGACAGGUUUUUGUUGUGAAGCUAUUUCAAGGGACAGACCAAUCAUCCAGUCUCGAGUAAAUUGUUUAAUAGAAGGAAUUGGGGAUAUUAUGGCUUAACAAAAUAUGUUAUAAUUUAAGAAUUAAAAAAUGCAUGCUGCUAAGGAUGAAUGCUGCAGGGAGAAAAGGAGAAGAAAGAGAAAGUAACCUAAAAUGAAAAUUAAUUGUAAUCUUAUAAAAAAAAUGUUCAUCAACAGUUAGAAAAAUGUGAAAAAAGAAUAAAAGAUAGAUAGAAAUAAAGAAAAACCCCAACUAUUGUUAAAGUGAUUAAAUUCAGUCUAAAAAACAAAAAAUAAAAGAUACAUGAAAAAUAAAAAAGAAUUCAAAAAC